rnacentral:rRNA from 1 species
AUUGAACGCUGGCGGCAUGCUUUACACAUGCAAGUCGAACGGCAGCACGGGUGCUUGCACCUGGUGGCGAGUGGCGGACGGGUGAGUAAUACAUCGGAACGUGUCCAGAAGAGGGGGAUAACGCAUCGAAAGAUGUGCUAAUACCGCAUAUGCUCUGAGGAGGAAAGUAGGGGAUCGCAAGACCUCACGCUAUUCGAGCGGCCGACGUCUGAUUAGCUAGUUGGUGGGGUAAAGGCCUACCAAGGCGACGAUCAGUAGCGGGUCUGAGAGGAUGAUCCGCCACACUGGGACUGAGACACGGCCCAGACUCCUACGGGAGGCAGCAGUGGGGAAUUUUGGACAAUGGGGGCAACCCUGAUCCAGCCAUUCCGCGUGAGUGAAGAAGGCCUCGGUUGUAAG